rnacentral:rRNA from 1 species
UACGAAGGGGGCUAGCGUUGCUCGGAAUGACUGGGCGUAAAGGGCGCGUAGGCGGAUGGCACAGUCAGAUGUGAAAGCCCCGGGCUCAACCUGGGAAUGGCAUUUGAUACUCUGAGGCUGGAGUACGGGAGAGGAGAGUGGAAUUCCCAGUGUAGAGGUGAAAUUCGUAGAUAUUGGGAAGAACACCGGUGGCGAAGGCGGCUCUCUGGACCGUAACUGACGCUGAGGCGCGAAAGCGUGGGGAGCAAACAGG